rnacentral:rRNA from 1 species
GACGAACGCUGGCGGCGUGCUUAACACAUGCAAGUCGAACGGAAAGGCCCUGCUUUUGUGGGGUGCUCGAGUGGCGAACGGGUGAGUAACACGUGAGUAACCUGCCCUUGACUUUGGGAUAACUUCAGGAAACUGGGGCUAAUACCGGAUAGGAGCUCCUGCUGCAUGGUGGGGGUUGGAAAGUUUCGGCGGUUGGGGAUGGACUCGCGGCUUAUCAGCUUGUUGGUGGGGCAGUGGCUUACCAAGGCUUUGACGGGUAGCCGGCCUGAGAGGGUGACCGGCCACAUUGGGACUGAGAUACGGCCCAGACUCCUACGGGAGGCAGCAGUGGGGAAUAUUGCACAAUGGGCGGAAGCCUGAUGCAGCAACGCCGCGUGCGGGAUGACGGCCUUCGGGUUGUAAACCGCUUUCGCCUGUGACGAAGCGUGAGUGACGGUAAUGGGUAAAGAAGCACCGGCUAACUACAUG